rnacentral:rRNA from 1 species
UACGUAGGGGGCGAGCGUUAUCCGGAUUUACUGGGCGUGAAGAGCGCGUAGGCGGCUCCGUAAGUUGGUUGUGAAAGUUCGAGGCUCAACCUCGAAACUGCGUCCAAUACUGCGGGGCUGGAGUGCAAGAAAGGCAAGUGGAAUUUCGGGUGUAGUAGUGAAAUGCGUAGAUAUCCGAAGGAACACCAGUGGCGAAGGCGGCUUGCUGGCUUGCAACUGACGCUGAGGCGCGAAAGCUAGGGGAGCGAACGG